rnacentral:rRNA from 1 species
UACGGAGGGAGCUAGCGUUGUUCGGAAUUACUGGGCGUAAAGCGCGCGUAGGCGGCUUUGUAAGUUAGAGGUGAAAGCCCGGGGCUCAACCCCGGAACAGCCUUUAAGACUGCAUCGCUAGAAUCCGGGAGAGGUGAGUGGAAUUCCGAGUGUAGAGGUGAAAUGCGUAGAUAUCUGGAGGAACACCGGUGGCGAAGGCGGCAUCCUGGACCGGUAUUGACGCUGAGGCGCGAAAGCUAGGGGAGCAAACGGG